AGUCACUAUUUAUAGAUAAGGGUAGGAAUAAUAUCAAUGUUUUUAAACAUCAUCCAGAAGGCAAACUGGACUACCUUCCGGACCAUCGAGUCGAACCGCAAAUCAAUUGAUAUUUUUAUAUUAUGUAUUUAUAGAGAUUAUAUAGUUUUAUAAAUGAAAAAUAAAAAUGAGUGUGUCAUGUUUAACAAAAAAAUUGAAAUCUAACGAGAACAGUAAUGUAAUCAAAAAUUUUAAAUCCAACUAAAAGUUAAAAAUA
rnacentral:sRNA from 1 species